ensembl:piRNA 21ur-3343 ncRNA
UCAUUCAUAUUCCUAGUUGGU